CAGCAGUUUUGAUGGAGGCCCAAGUAAGUUCAAAUUGCCGUGAUUUGUUGGGGAUGCUUGCUGGAUGUUCUAUGUUGGUAGAGAUGAUUGUUGGAGUUUCAUAUGGUGUGAAUUGCGUAUGAAAUGACACUUUUGUGUUGUUUUCUCUAUCCACACAAGUUAUGUAUUAUAUACGUACAGAUUAAGUUAAAAAGUGGGCCAACAUUGUGUGUCAAAUUUGGGUUUAGUUGAGUUAAUAUGGGGUUAUAUUAGUUUAAAUUUAUGAAUAUAACGGGGUGGGGGUGGGGGGUGGGAGGGGGAGAGAGAGAGAAGGUAAGAUAAGAAAGAGCGUAAAAAGGUCUUUCUAUAUCUGCCGGUUAACGGAGUCAAUUUAGCAAUUUAAUCCAAAACCACAGGCAGCCAACAAAGCUAUUUUUAAAGGUCAGGGAGGCAACGUGCUCCAAGCCUAAACCACGAAGAGGUAAAAUUAAUUUUUCCCUCAAAUUAAUCCCCAUUCAC
rnacentral:lncRNA from 1 species